rnacentral:lncRNA from 1 species
CUGCUCUCCAUUUUAUUUAAGGAUCCAAAUGACUGAUACAAACAGUGGUAAUCAGCUCUAUUGCUAAUACAGGAUAUUUGGGCUGAGAGAUAACACUUAACCCCUAAGUGUGAAACAGCUCAUAAAUCACAGCCACUUUGUGGGGAAACUUAAGACCCUCUCCUGUGAGCAGAAAUCAGAUGAUAUCCUGCUGAGACCCAUUAUACUCCUUUCUCCAAAAUCUAAAGGUUAAAUAUAAAAAGAAAUUAAUGUAGAGAAGGAAGGAGAUCAGGGGAAGUGGGGACAGGAGUGGGUGGUUAAGAGGAAUGCAAAUACCCACAUAACUGGGUUAAUCUUAUCAGGACAGAUAAGACAAAGCUGGGGAGGACGUGGUUAUAGCUUGGAGGGAAAGCUCAGCUCUGGGGAAGUGGCAGGGCCUGGCAGAUGCCUCCUCAGUGCCUCAGAUGUAGGAUAAACCCUCACACCUCCCAGCACCUGCACAGAGGCAGCAGCACAGCUCCCUGCAGGUCCCUGCAGGUGUGAGGACACCAAGGGCACGUUAGGCUGUGCAAGGAUGUAGCUGUGUCAGGGCUAAUGGGUACCUAGAGCUGGAAAAGGCCUUGGAGCCCACCCUUGUCUGGUGAAAACGACCCUGCCUGGCAGCAGACACGGAGCCAAACCCACAGGUACCAUGGGUUACCUGCAGUCACAGCACAGUGGAUCAGUGUCAGGCCAGCACUGGGGAGUGAUGAUUUAACCCUUCCUAAAUGAAGAAACACAAAAGUCUAGCGAGGAACUUCUCUGUGUCCAGCACUAACAACAAUGUUAGGAGAGAGAAGAUGAGUGGAUUUUCUGGGAGGUCCUGUCCCACUGAACUGGUUCAUCUCUGCCAUCAAAUAUUUCCCUACGCUGCUCCAUCCCCAUGCACCAGCUGGAAAUUAUUCAUUGCAACUGCUCCCUUGAGGAUUCUUCUGUGUUUUGAGCAUGGAAAAGAGAGGCCCAUGAUGAUCCUCAAGGCUGACAGAUGAAGACACAUGCAUUGAGGAGAGACAGAUUAUGGAUCUCAGAACCCACUUGGGCCAUUAACUCUCGGAAUUCUCAGUAUUCUGCCCCUUCCAGAAGGAAUUCACAGGUUGGUGUAAAUGCAACUGCAGAAUUUUUGCAGUGGAAGACCCUACCUGACACCUAAAGGGACUCUGCAGUAUUUGACAAUUCCACUCCCUUGGGAGGCCAGGCUGGAGGACAGCAAUAAGAAACCAGUCCCAAACUGGUGUGAGCCCAGUGCUGCUGCAUGGGAGGAGUUAGCAGUGCUCUGACACAGACUGGGGGAGCAGCACACUUCAUGGGGAAACAUCUGUGGCUUAAAUCAGAUAAUCAAUACACACCUAAUCACACACAACUGUCCCUUUUGACAACAGGUAAACAGAAAUUACUUGAUUGGCUCUGCCAACACCAGAAUAGUUUCCAGGGAGACAUAAACACCGGGAAGAAGGAUGGGAAGCACCUCUCCACUGUGUAGGCAUGGUACCCACCGUGAAGCUGUGGUGUUAAACUUGACACAACCCAUGGAUGCAACUCCAGAGAACAAACUGUCUGAUCACAACAUGAAUGAAUGAGACCCCUGUGCAGAGAAGGACUAACCCUCACUGAAACACCUGACUGUGCACCUGAAAAUGGCUUUAUUCAUUCGUUCAUUCAUUCAAAAUCUCCUUCAAAACCUGUUCCUGGUCACACAGCUACAGGGACACGGGAGCCCCAGCUGAUAAACACAGCAGCAGCAGCAGCACACUGCCCCUCGGUCUCACACCUCAUGGCCCAAGGAAAAUUAACAGGAAGCCUGAAUCAAGUCCUUUAAAAAUGAAAAGGAGAGCAGAGCUCCAGGAAGCUGAUGGCAACAUUGAUAAUGAAAGCACAAAAGACAUUUCAUUUAAGACAAGAACUCCAGCUUGCUUGGAACAGGAGGGAACUGAGCCUGCUCGCUAUUCCUCUGUUCUCCCCCCUCACCUCCCCUGUACCUUCAGUGCCUUC